rnacentral:tRNA from 1 species
GCCUUCGUGGUGUAACGGUAGCACGCUCGGCAUGUAUUCGAGAGGUCCAGGUUCGAGUCCCGGGGAGGACA